rnacentral:rRNA from 1 species
AUACGUAGGGGGCGAGCGUUGUCCGGAAUUACUGGGCGUAAAGGGCGCGUAGGCGGUCUAAUAAGUCAGAUGUGAAACCCCUGGGCUUAACCCUGGGCUUGCAUUUGAAACUGUUGGACUUGAGGACAGGAGAGGAAAGCGGAAUUCCCAGUGUAGCGGUGAAAUGCGUAGAUAUUGGGAGGAACACCAGUGGCGAAGGCGGCUUUCUGGACUGAACCUGACGCUGAGGCGCGAAAGCCAGGGGAGCGAACGGGAUUAGAUACCCCGAUAGUCCUGGCCGUAAACGAUGGAUACUAGGUGUGGGAGGUAUCGACCCCUUCCGUGCCGGAGCAAACGCAAUAAGUAUCCCGCCUGGGGAGUACGGCCGCAAGGCUGAA